UCGGGAAUUUUGGGCAAUGGGGGAAACCCUGACCCAGCAACGCCGCGUGUGUGAAGAAGGCCUGCGGGUUGUAAAGCACUUUCGAUGGGAACGAAAUGUGCCGGGUUAAUACCCCGGUAAGCUGACGUUACUCAAUGAAGAAGCACCGGCUAACUCUGUGCCAGCAGCCGCGGUAAUACAGAGGGUGCGAGCGUUAAUCGGAAUUACUGGGCGUAAAGCGCACGUAGGUGGCGACGUAAGUCGGGUGUGAAAGCCCCGGGCUCAACCUGGGAAUUGCAUUCGAGACUGCAUUGCUGGAGUACGGAAGAGGAGGGCGGAAUUCCCGGUGUAGCGGUGAAAUGCGUAGAUAUCAGGAGGAACACCCGUGGCGAAGGCGGAUCUCUGGACCGGUUCUGACGCUGAGGAGCGAAAGCUAGGGGAGCAAACAGGAUUAGAUACCCAAGUAGUCCCUGAGCGGGCUGGCAAGGCGCAU
rnacentral:rRNA from 1 species